rnacentral:tRNA from 5 species
GAGCGCGUAGCUCAGUCGGUAGAGCACCUGACUUUUAAUCAGGGGGUCGUGGGUUCGAGCCCCACCGCGCUCACCA